UGGGGAAUAUUGGACAAUGGGCGAAAGCCUGAUCCAGCCAUGCCGCGUGAGUGAUGAAGGCCCUAGGGUUGUAAAGCUCUUUCAACGGUGAAGAUAAUGACGGUAACCGUAGAAGAAGCCCCGGCUAACUUCGUGCCAGCAGCCGCGGUAAUACGAAGGGGGCUAGCGUUGUUCGGAAUUACUGGGCGUAAAGCGCACGUAGGCGGAUUGUUAAGUGAGGGGUGAAAUCCCAGGGCUCAACCCUGGAACUGCCUUUCAUACUGGCAAUCUCGAGUCCGGAAGAGGUGAGUGGAAUUCCGAGUGUAGAGGUGAAAUUCGUAGAUAUUCGGAGGAACACCAGUGGCGAAGGCGACUCGCUGGACAGACAUUGACGCUGAGGUGCGAAAGCGUGGGGAGCAAA
rnacentral:rRNA from 1 species